rnacentral:rRNA from 1 species
GACGAACGCUGGCGGCGUGCCUAAUACAUGCAAGUAGAACGCUGAAGGAGGAGCUUGCUUCUCCGGAUGAGUUGCGAACGGGUGAGUAACGCGUAGGUAACCUGCCUGGUAGCGGGGGGUAACUAUUGGAAACGAUAGCUAAUACCGCAUAACAGUAGAUAUUGCAUGACAACUGCUUGAAAGGUGCAAUUGCAUCACUACCAGAUGGACCUGCGUUGUAUUAGCUAGUUGGUGAGGUAACGGCUCACCAAGGCGACGAUACAUAGCCGACCUGAGAGGGUGAUCGGCCACACUGGGACUGAGACACGGCCCAGACUCCUACGGGAGGCAGCAGUAGGGAAUCUUCGGCAAUGGACGGAAGUCUGACCGAGCAACGCCGCGUGAGUGAAGAAGGUUUUCGGAUCGUAAAGCUCUGUUGUAAGAGAAGAACGAGUGUGAGAGUGGAAAGUUCACACUGUGACGGUAUCUUACCAGAAAGGGACGGCUAACUACGUGCCAGCAGCCGCGGUAAUACGUAGGUCCCGAGCGUUGUCCGGAUUUAUUGGGCGUAAAGCGAGCGCAGGCGGUUAGAUAAGUCUGAAGUUAAAGGCUGUGGCUUAACCAUAGUACGCUUUGGAAACUGUUUAACUUGAGUGCAAGAGGGGAGAGUGGAAUUCCAUGUGUAGCGGUGAAAUGCGUAGAUAUAUGGAGGAACACCGGUGGCGAAAGCGGCUCUCUGGCUUGUAACUGACGCUGAGGCUCGAAAGCGUGGGGAGCAAACAGGAUUAUAUACCCUAGUAGUCCGAGGGCGAAUUCCACAGUGGAUAUCAAGCUUAUCGAUACCGUCGACCUCGAGGGGGAAACAGGGUACCGAAGCUUUUGUUCCCUUUAGUGAGGGUUAAUUUAGAGGUGUCGUUUUUUAUGCCUGUUAUGUCCUUGUGUGUGUUGCCUGUUUGCUGACUGGCGUUGUGUAUGGGUGGUGUGUGCUAGGUUCUGUGGUUGUGGGUGUGCGUGUGUGGCUUGGUUGAUUGGUGGGGGUGGUGUUGUGUGUGUGUGUGGAAGGAUCGUGUGUCUGUUGCUGUAGUGUGCGUAUUGUCCGUGCGGGUGUGUGAUGUUGGCGUGUCGAGCUGGUGUAGACUGUAGAUGUGUUGAGUGAUAG